UACAUGGUGUGACGGAACCUGUAUUGUACCGUAGCAGAGCUAUAAUGAGAAAGUACACAGAAACAUCAAAUAACUGAAAAUGAUUUACUAACUAUUUGAACCAUUAUUUAAAAUGAAACGGGUAAUUUAUGGCUGGAAUAAUAGGAUAGUAUUUUUGGGUUUUGUGGAUAUAUUUUGGUUUUUCUUGUGAAUGAUUUAUGAAAGCAUCACUGUAAGAUGACAAAAAUAAUGAAAAGGGUUUUUAAUUAGAGAAGCAUUUACAUGAGUGCAAAACAUUUUGUUUUAAAUAAUUACUGAUACUACAGAAAUGCAUAUAGGCCUCAAUUAGUUUGUAACUUUCUGUGCUACACCUAACACAACCAUAUGACACAGUUUCUAUUCCAAAGAACUGAAUUUUGUGUCACUUUACAGUGACAUAAAAUAUGGAAUAGUGUCUCUGUAGCCUGAGAUGACCUGAUCUUUAAAGUACUAGAAAGUAACGCAAGAAGCUAUUGAAAAAAAAACAA